GUGAGAAAUUAAAUUUCAAAAUGUAAUUAUUAAAUGUAUGCCUGACUUUCAAAUGUUUUUCUAUAUCCAGCUAAUUAAAAAUAUUUAUAACGUAGUAGUAGUUAAAUGUCAUGUUCGCCUUAUUAGAAAGAAUGCCUUCAAAUCAGUAUUAUCAUGAUUACCAUUUAUUUAACAUCUUCAGUAUGCAGGGCAUUUAUAAAAUCUGUAGAAAUUAAUUUUCUCUAAAUGCAACAAGCUUUAUGACCAGCACUCACUGUCUAUAAAAGAUGACUUGCUUGGCAGAAGAGGAAACAGUUUCUUCAGACCUUCCAGCCACAGUCAGCCCUGGUGACAUUGCAUAUCAGCUUCUAAAGGGCCUCGCACAUUCCUUGGCUUGUGAUGUCCCUUCCCCAUCAUCAAAGACAGCAACGAAACUUCAGGCUACCAUACCUGCUUCAACUGUAGGAGAAUCUUAGUUCUGGAGAGUUGACCCUCCAGGCGAAGCAUUAGGCUUUGAUACAAUUUGUCUGGUACCGGCUGUAGAUCU
rnacentral:lncRNA from 1 species